rnacentral:rRNA from 1 species
ACCUUCGGCCACACCACUUUGAAUAAGCCUGAUCUCGCCUGAUCUCGUCUGAUCUCAGAAGUGAAACAAUGUUGGGCUUGGUUAGUACUUGGAUGGGAGACCGCCUGGGAAUAUCAAGUGCUGUAGGCAUU